AUGACAGCACUUCCAAGGCUCGUGUGCCUGGAGCUCCAUCCUCCAACCCCAUCUGACAUUUUCCCUCCAAUGGCCGCCGCGGCCCCUGCAGAAGCCGGCCCAGCGAGCAGCUCCUCCACCACCAAGGAGAAACCGGGGACGGCUCCAUUAGGGGAGAACUGCAAAAGACAAGCCAGCCCUGUCAACUCCACUUCCAAAGGCAACGGAAAGGAGAAUCCCACGUCCGGAUUUAAUUGCCCAAUGCGAUCGCGAGAAUCCAUGGACAGGGCAUCAGUAGCAGCACAUGAAAGAAAGGUAGGUUUUCGGGGCCCAGAGGAAGCCACGCCCCAAGAAUACCACCAGGACAGUUUGCUAAUUGCUAUUUCCGGUGCUUAAACCUCCCUGAGGCACCUAGGGGACAUCCCUUAGGAAAGUUUCCACCUGCUUCGCCCUGCCCUGGAGAAUUGAGUUGGGUGAUCCCGGACAGGCUAGCUCUGCUGUUUGAAGAAUGAGAUCUGGCACAGAGCUGCUUCCCUGGAGGGUGCCAAGCAACCGUGUGAGACAUUACAAGGGCCACGGGCCAUCCCUCUGUGGCUCCUGACACCCGGGGUUUAAGUUGAACUCACUCUUGCCAAAGCUGGUGUCUGCAGCUGCUUCCCAGCAGGCUGGAGACAGGCUCUGAGCUAUCGAUGUGCUUUGGUUAGGGAGCGCUGCUGGUCCUCCGCCUGCAAUUCCUCCCUCCUCUCCCUCACUCUUCCCUGCCUACCACCCAUAUUCCACUCAGGUGUCCUCUCUCCAGGCAGCCUGCCUUGCACUCCUGGAAGGUGGGCCAGGUGUCCUACUUUGCAUCAUAUACCGUGGCAUUAUUUGGGCAUGGCAUUAUCUGGGCAUUAUUUGUUGACCAUCUGGGUGCCAAUCUCUGUGCUAAGCACUUCACAUUAAAUAUCUCUUAUCAUCCUUACAGUCACCCAAAGUACUAUGAAUAUUACUCCCAUUUUACAGGUGAUAAAAAUGAAGGGCAAC
rnacentral:lncRNA from 1 species